UACAGAGGUGGCAAGCGUUGUUCGGAAUUACUGGGCGUAAAGGGCGCGUAGGCGGCCCACUAAGUCAGACGUGAAAUCCCCCGGCUUAACCUGGGAACUGCGUCUGAUACUGGAGGGCUUGAGUAUGGGAGAGGGAUGUAGAAUUCCAGGUGUAGCGGUGAAAUGCGUAGAUAUCUGGAGGAACACCAAUGGCGAAGGCAGCUCGCUGGGACGGUACUGACGCUGAGACGCGAAAGCGUGGGGAGCAAACCGG
rnacentral:rRNA from 1 species